rnacentral:rRNA from 1 species
GAGACAGCAGUCGCCGCGGGAAUACAGAGGGUGCGAGCGUUAAUCGGAUUUACUGGGCGUAAAGCGUGCGUAGGCGGCUUUUUAAGUCGGAUGUGAAAUCCCUGAGCUUAACUUAGGAAUUGCAUUCGAUACUGGGAAGCUAGAGUAUGGGAGAGGAUGGUAGAAUUCCAGGUGUAGCGGUGAAAUGCGUAGAGAUCUGGAGGAAUACCGAUGGCGAAGGCAGCCAUCUGGCCUAAUACUGACGCUGAGGUACGAAAGCAUGGGGAGCAAACAGGAUUAGAUACCCGCGUAGUCCCUGUCUCUUAUAA